ACACAUUUAAUCAAAAUUGUUAAAUCCUAUGGAGCCUAAUAAGAAAGACAAUCCUACAUAUCAGAGUCUACAAUAUAAAUCAUACAUUCAAAUAUAGGAAAGCUAUAUUACCUUCAGUCAAAGCUAAAGAACCAGAUAUAAAAAUAAAAAUCGAAGCUAUAUUACCAAUAUUCAAAAAUCCAAAUAAAAGGUUAGGGCUCUUCGUUUUUAGCACAUCAAUGGUGUGGAGAUAAGGAUGUAAUCGAUGGUGAAAGUGUUUGUGGAGACAUCAAUUUUGAGACAUUAGAUGCACGCCUUAAUCACCGCCAACCACAAUCCUCCACUACUGAAAAUCGCAAUCUAUUACAGCCUCCUUAAACUACCGAUGUCACCUCCGUGAACCUCACUUUCCAGCCGAUGAACACCGUAGCACCAUCGAGAACCAAAACCAUAACCUUUAUCAGACCAACAAAGAAGAAAAUAAGAAGAAGUAGGCGUCUGUUUUUUUCUUUGUGUUUGGCUGCAAAAGAAAACACACCAAAGUCCUAGUGGUUUUGAUCCGAUGGUGAUGUAAAAGUCCUAGAGGGUUCAGAUCGAGUUUUAUCUACUUCUUCUUAGAGAAAGAGAAAGUGAAGGAUAAGAGAGUACUGAAGUUGUUAGUAGUUCAAAUCUAGAGUGGCGAUGGGAUCGAAAGAAAAAAAAAACGUCUCCACAUGUUUGAUCGGUCUCCCUUUUAACCCCCAUAAAAGUCAUAACCUUCUGGUAGUGGAAUGGGUAACCCUCCGAGCAUCAAUUGCAUAAGAAAUCGGUAUUAUUUCUUUGAAUUGAAAAGAAAUCAAUGGAUCAGGAUGAGUUACGACACAUGUGUUGUCUUUAAAGACAAUUCGAAGAAGUGAUCCAUGGAUGAGAGUGGCCGGUAAGGAUGGUGUCGGCGAUGAUGAAAGGGGUUAGGUUUACAGAGUGUUGAAUGAGUUUGGAGAGAGUAUAUUUUCAGUUUAUGGAAUUCAAAUUUCCAUUCUCCAAUGUUCUGUGUAUUAUAAACUACAAAUUGGGCGAAUAAAGGGGAAAGAAAAGGUAAA
rnacentral:lncRNA from 1 species